CACCUCUAGCCAAUUAACACAUAUUAGAGGCACUGCCUGCCCAGUGAUAACAUUUAACGGCCGCGGUAUUCUGACCGUGCAAAGGUAGCAUAAUCACUUGUCUUUUAAAUAAAGACUAGUAUGAACGGCAACACGAAAGCUUAACUGUCUCCUUUAUCUAGUCAAUGAAAUUGAUCUUCCCGUACAAAAGCGAGAAUACAUAAACAAGACGAGAAGACCCUAUGGAACUUCAAACACAUAUUCACUACUUAUAAAUUCCAUAUUUAAAAAUUACUGACAUAUUGUUUUUGGUUGGGGUGACCACGGAGAAAAACUUAACCUCCGAAAAUAAUACUAAGAUAUACAUUUCAAAGUGCUAAACUUUAGACCUUAUGACCCAAUAAAUUUGAUCAACGAACCAAGCUACCCUAGGGAUAACAGCGCAAUCUUCUCCAAGAGCCCCUAUCGACAAGAAGGUUUACGACCUCGAUGUUGGAUCAGGAUUACCAGAUAGUGCAGCCGCCAUCAAAGGUUUGUUUGUUCAACAAUUAAAAUCCU
rnacentral:rRNA from 1 species